AAAUUGAAGAGUUUGAUCAUGGCUCAGAUUGAACGCUGGCGGCAGGCCUAACACAUGCAAGUCGAGCGGAAACGAGUUAUCUGAACCUUCGGGGGACGAUAACGGCGUCGAGCGGCGGACGGGUGAGUAAUGCCUAGGAAAUUGCCCUGAUGUGGGGGAUAACCAUUGGAAACGAUGGCUAAUACCGCAUAAUGCCUACGGGCCAAAGAGGGGGACCUUCGGGCCUCUCGCGUCAGGAUAUGCCUAGGUGGGAUUAGCUAGUUGGUGAGGUAAUGGCUCACCAAGGCGACGAUCCCUAGCUGGUCUGAGAGGAUGAUCAGCCACACUGGAACUGAGACACGGUCCAGACUCCUACGGGAGGCAGCAGUGGGGAAUAUUGCACAAUGGGCGCAAGCCUGAUGCAGCCAUGCCGCGUGUGUGAAGAAGGCCUUCGGGUUGUAAAGCACUUUCAGUC
rnacentral:rRNA from 1 species